GGGCCUUGGCGGCGGCUAUAAUGCAGUCGAGCGAAUGAUGAGGAGCUUGCUCCUCUGAUUUAGCGGCGGACGGGUGAGUAACACGUGGGUAAUCUGCCUGUAAGACGGGGAUAACUCCGGGAAACCGGGGCUAAUACCGGAUAAUAAGAGAAGAAGCAUUUCUUCUUUUUGAAAGUCGGUUUCGGCUGACACUUACAGAUGAGCCCGCGGCGCAUUAGCUAGUUGGUGAGGUAACGGCUCACCAAGGCGACGAUGCGUAGCCGACCUGAGAGGGUGAUCGGCCACACUGGGACUGAGACACGGCCCAGACUCCUACGGGAGGCAGCAGUAGGGAAUCUUCGGCAAUGGGCGAAAGCCUGACCGAGCAACGCCGCGUGAGCGAUGAAGGCCUUCGGGUCGUAAAGCUCUGUUGUUAGAGAAGAACAAGUACGAGAGUAACUGCUCGUACCUUGACGGUACCUAACCAGAAAGCCACGGCUAACUACGUGCCAGCAGCCGCGGUAAUACGUAGGUGGCAAGCGUUAUCCGGAAUUAUUGGGCGUAAAGCGCGCGCAGGCGGUCUCUUAAGUCUGAUGUGAAAGCCCACGGCUCAACCGUGGAGGGUCAUUGGAAACUGGGAGACUUGAGUGCAGGAGAGAAAAGUGGAAUUCCACGUGUAGCGGUGAAAUGCGUAGAGAUGUGGAGGAACACCAGUGGCGAAGGCGGCUUUUUGGCCUGUAACUGACGCUGAGGCGCGAAAGCGUGGGGAGCAAACAGGAUUAGAUACCCUGGUAGUCCACGCCGUAAACGAUGAGUGCUAGGUGUUGGGGGGUUCCACCCUCAGUGCUGAAGUUAACACAUUAAGCACUCCGCCUGGGGAGUACGACCGCAAGGUUGAAACUCAAAGGAAUUGACGGGGGCCCGCACAAGCAGUGGAGCAUGUGGUUUAAUUCGAAGCAACGCGAAGAACCUUACCAGGUCUUGACAUCCUUUGACCACUCUAGAGAUAGAGCUUUCCCCUUUCGGGGGACAAAGUGACAGGUGGUGCAUGGUUGUCGUCAGCUCGUGUCGUGAGAUGUUGGGUUAAGUCCCGCAACGAGCGCAACCCUUUGACCUUAGUUGCCAGCAAUUCAGUGGCACUCUAAGUGACUGCCGGUGACAAACCCGGAGGAGUGGGGAUGACGUCAAUUCAUC
rnacentral:rRNA from 2 species